rnacentral:rRNA from 1 species
ACCUUAGAUGUUCUGGGCUGCACGCGUGCUACACUGAUAUUGCCAAUAUGUCAUUCUUAUCCGAAAUGGAUUGGGUAAUCAAGUAAUGAAAUUUCAUGCUUGGAAUCGGUAAUUGCAAUUUUAUCGUGAACGAGGAAUUCCUAGUAAGCACUAGUCAUCAGCUAAUGUUGAUUAUGUCCCUGCCCUUUGUACACACCGCCCGUCGCUACUACUGAUUGGGUGUUCAAGUGAGAUGCUUAGACCCUUGUUGCAUGGUUCAUUAUUGUGCUCCGAAAGGAAAAAGUUUCAAGCUUGAGUGUCUAGAGGAAGUAAAAGUCGUAACA